GCAAGACAACUGUACAGCAAUAUACAUCUCCGCACUUCUUCCUUCAUUCACACCACCCCUUGCUCCCCCAUGUUUUAGCUAGGCAGUAGUUUCUUUGGUAAGAGAUUAUCUUUUCCAGGCUACCUUGCAACUAAGUGUGAACAUGGGACUGACUUGACCAAUGGGAUGGAAACCGUAGUUUAUCACUGGCAGGCCACAUCCUAAAAAGGAAAGGGCUUGCCUUCCUCUUGUAAUUUCCUCUUUUCCAUGGGCCAGAGUGUCACUGUGCUCAUGGCAAACCAGUUCUGUCUAUGUGGGAAAGGGCAGCAUAUCGAAAGCACAUCAACCUCAUAAGGCAGGGCCACUUCUGUGCUGAACUGCCUGCCAGCUCAGACCUUCACAUAAGAAAGAAAGAAACCUGCCAUCUUAUUUCAGCCAUACUAAAGUAGCCAAACCAGUUUCCUGACUAACAGAUUUACUACGCUCAGUAUCAGGCUGCUGUUUAACAUAGAACGAUAAGUUCUGAUCCGGACCAUAAGAAAAGAAAAAGAAGAAAGAGACUAUUGGUAUUGGGAAGAGAAAUAAACUCACUAUUUUUACUUUAUUUUUUUUUCUUAAGUUACUGAUAACACCCAGUGGGAGGCUCAAACUCAUGACCCUGAGAACAGGAGUUGGAUGUUCCACCCACGGAGCCAGCCACGGCGCCAGCCACGGCGCCUCUAAAACUCAUUAUUUUUAAAUUAAGUCAUAUUUUCAGAUGUUCAGGUAUACCUAUGUAUUUAAAGAAACUUCAAAAUAAGCUUAAGGAUGGUAACUACAAAAUAGUUGAUAAAAAUUUCAAGCACUUUUCUACUAGAGCAGCAGCCAAUUAGAUAAUGUAAUUAAAAGGAAAAGAUACUAUUCAGAGUGACAGUGAAAGCUAUAAAGUAUUUAGUAAUUAAGUAAUAUACAAAAAUCCUGUGUUUGUUUUAGUAGGCGGUGUUGGAAAACUGGCUUUUUACAUGGAGAAAAACAGGAUACCUAACUAGCAUCAUGUCCAAAGGUGGGCUCUCAGUGGAUUAAAGGUCUUAAAUGUGAAAGCAUUUACUUAAAACAAGAUGUUCCAAGAUUAUUCUGUACUUUCCCUGCCCUAAUCUUGGAAUCCGUCGUGGAAUCCUAAUGCCUUAGCACUUGGUGCUCGUCUACUGAGGUAAAGUUGUUUCUGUGUCCUAUUGAUGUGUAGAACCAAUCAGUCCAUAACCGAGUAUAGACACAUACCACGUAGCUAUACCUAUCCUCUACCUGUUUUGUAGCCUGUGACUUCUUACCGUCUCUUCCCGUCAGGUCAACCUCUCGAGGUUCUUUCUAGGCUUCUCCCUUUACACAUUCAUAAAUCCUUUUACAAAACUGAGAGAUCUGGUUCCCAUUAUUCUCAGUAUGUGCUUACUUCCUGAAUCCCUUCCUUGCAAACGUGAAUCCAUCUCCUUACCAUGCUAGCCACCCGCCACCUCAGUUGCUCUGCUGCUGGGCCUCUUCUCUGGGCCAACCCUCACCAGCAGACUUCUGGGCUCCAGGCUCACCAAUUACUCCCUACCAUUUGCUUCUUCAGACGCUAAUGCAGGGGGAGUAGGUGAUGAUGAAAAAGAAGGGGUUGGAGUCUGUUAAGUUUAAGAUGUUUAUACUCAUUUUAACUAUUGCUAUGAGAACUUAUUUCUGCCAUUUAUUGUUCUUUUCAUUGUAAUAAGUGAAGAGUACUUCAAUCCCUAUCGCUUAUUUCCCCCAUCUUCUCUCCCCACCCAGCUCCCCUCUGGUAACCCAUCAAUUUGUUCUCUAUAGUUAAGAGUCUGUUGCUUGGUUUGUCUUUUAUUCUCCCCUGUUGUUUGUUUCUUAAAUUCUACAUAUAAGUGACAUUAUAUGGUAUUUGUCUUUCUCUUAUUUUGCUUAGCAUUAUACUCUCUCUAGCUCUACCCAUGUUGUUCCAAAUGGCAAGAUUUCAUUUGUUUUUAUGGCUGAGUAAUAAACACUCCAUCUAUCUGUGGACACUUAGGCUACUUCUAUAGUUUGGCUACUUUGAAUAAUGCUGCAAUAAACACAGGGGUUCAUGUAAUCCCUUGGAAUUAGUGGGUUUUUUUAUUUUUUUAUUUUUUGGGUAAAUACCCAGUAGUGCUAUUACUGAAUUGUAGGAUAGUUGUAUGUUUAACUUUUUGAGGAACCUCCAUACUGUUUCCCACAGUGGCUGUAUCAGUUUGUGUCCCCACCAACAGUGCACGAGGGCUCCCCUUUCUCCACAUCCUCACCAACUCUUGUUUUUUAUGUUUUUGAUUUUAGCCAUCCUGACAGAUGUAAGGGGAUGUCUCAUUAUAGUCUUGAUUUGCAUUUCCCUGAUGAUGAACAUAUUUUCAUGUGUCUGUUGGCCACCUGGAUGUCUUUGGAGAAAUGUCUGUUUGUGUCUUCUGCCCAUUUUUUAACUGGACUAUUUGUUCUUGGGGUGUUGAGUUGUGUCAGUUAUUUAUAUAUUUUGGAUACUAACCCUUUAUUGCAUGUGUCAUUUACAAAUACCUUCUUCCACUUAGCUGGUUGCCUCUUAAUUUUGUUGUUUUCUUUGCUGUGCAGAAACUUUUUAUGUCAUCCCAGUAGUUUAUUUUUGUUUUUAUUUCACUUGCCUUAGGAGACAGCUAGGAAAAUGUUGCUACAGCCAGUGUCAGAGAAAUUACUGCCUGUACUGUGUUCAAGGAUUUUUAGGGUUUCAGAUCUCACAUUUAGGUCUUUAAUCCAUUUUGAGCAUUUUUGUAUAUGAAGAAAAACAGUGGUCCAGUUUCAUUCUUUUGCAUAUUGCUUGCUGUCCAGUUUUCCCAACACCAUUUGUUGAAGAGAUUAUCUUUUUCCCACUCUGUAUUCAUUCCUCCUUUGUUGAAGAUAAAUUAACUAUACAAUUGCAGGUUUAUUUCUGGUUUUUAUAUUCCGUUCCAUCGACCUAUGUUUGUUUUUAUGCCACUGCCAUUGCUUUAAUUACCACCACUUUGUAAUAUAACUUGAAAUCUGGAAUUGUGAUACCUCCAGUUUUGUUUUUCUUUUUCAGCAUUGCUUUGGCUGUUUGAGGUUUUGUGGCUCCAUACAAAUUUUAGGAUUGUUUGUUUUAACUCUGUGAACAAAUGCCAUCAGUAUUUUGAUACGGAUCACAUUAAAUCUGUAGAUUGCUUUGAGUAAUGUAGCAAUUUUAACAUUACGUAUUCUUUCAAUCCAUGAGCAUGAAAUGUCUUUCCUUUUCUUUGCAUCAUCUUGAAUUUCUUUAUCAGUGUCUGAAAGUUUUCAGAGUACAGGUCUUUCACCUCUCUGGUUAAGCUUAUUCCUAGAUAUUAUAUUGGUUUUGGUGCAAUUGAAGAUGAGAUAGUUUUCUUAAUUUCACUUUUUGCUGCUUCAUUUUUAGUGUAUAGAUAAGCAACGGGAUUUCUAUACAUGGAUUUUGUAUCCCGUAAUCUUACUGGAUUCCUUUGUCAGUUCUAGAGUUUUUUUGGUAGAGUCUUUAGGGUUUUCUGUAUAGUCAUCUGCAAAUAGAGUUUUAGUUCUUCCUUACCAAUCUGGAUGCCUUUUAUUUUUUUAUGUUGUCUAAUGGCUGUGCUGGGACUCCCAGUACUAUGUUGAAGAAAAGCAGUGAGAGUGGAUAUCCUUAUCUUAGAGUUCUUGACCUUAGGAGAAAAGCUCUCAGUUUUUCACCAUCAAGUAUAAUGUUAGCUGUGGGUUUUUCAUAUAAAGACUUAUUAUAUUGAGGUUUGUUCCCUCUAGAUCUACUUUGCAGAGGGUUUUUUUUUUUAUUAGGGAUUUUUUUUUUAAAGAUUUUAUUUAUUUAUUCAUGAGAGACAGAGAGAGAGGCAGAGGGAGAAGCAGGCUCCAUGCAGAGAGCCUGAUGUGGGACUCUAUCCCGGGUCUCCAGGAUCAGGCCCUGGGCUAAAGGUGGCGCUAAACCACUGAGCCACCAGGGCUGCCCCGCAGAGGGUUUUUUUUAAUCCUGAAUGGAUGUUGUACUUUGUUGAAUGCUUGUUCUUUAUCUAUUGAAACCACCAUGUAGUUUUUAUCAUUUCUCUUAUUGAAGACAGUCAUGUUGAUUGCUUUGUAAAUACUGAACAACUCUUGCAUCCCAGGAAUAAAUCCCACUUGAUCAUGGUGUAUGUUUUUUUAUACUUCUUGUUGGAUUCAGAUUGCUAAUAUUUUGUUGCAGAUUUUUAUAUCUAUAUUCAUGAGAGAUACUGGCUGUAGUUCUCUUUUUUUGUAGUGUCCUCAUCUGGUUUUAGUAUCAGGGUGAUACUGGCCUCAUCAAAUGAAUUUGGCAGUUUUCCUUCCUCUUCUUUUUUUUUUGGGGGGGGGAUACUUUGAGAAGAAUAGGUAUUAACUCUUCUUUAAAUGUUUGGUAGAGUUAGCCUGUGAAGCCAUCUCAUCUUGGACCUUUGUUUUUUGAUUAUUAAUUGAAUUUCAUUGCUGGUAAUUGGUGGUCUAUCCAAAUUUUGUUUCUCCUGGUUUAAUUUGGUAGGUUAUAUGUUUCCAGGAAUUUACCCAUGUCUUGUAAGAGUUGUCCUAUUUGUUGGCAUAUAGUUUUCAUAAUACUCUGUUACAGUGUGUAUUUCUGUGGUAUUAGUGGUUAUUUCUCCUCUUUCAUUAAUUAUUUUAUAUGGCCCUCACCCUCCCUGUUUUGAGUCUGGCUAGAGGUUUAUCAAUUUUGUUGAUCUUUAUAAGGAACCAUCUCUUGGUUUCAUUGAUCUGUUCUGUUGGGGUUUUUUAGUUUCUAUAUUAUUUAUUUCUGUUCUGAUCUUAUUUCCUUCCUUUUGCUGUGUUUGGAUUUUGUUCUUUAUCUGACUCCUUUGGGUGUAAGGUUAGGUUGUUCAUUUGAGAUUCUUUUGCUUCUUGAAGUAGGCCUGUAACUUUAAGUUUCCCUCUUAGAACCACUUUUGCUGAAUCCCAGAGAUUUUGGACCAUCUUGUUUUCAUUUUCAUUUGUUUCCAUGUAAUUUUUUUUUCUUUGUCUUUUUGGUUGACCUUUUCACUCUUUAGUCACAUGUUAUUUAACCUCUGUGUAUUUGUGGUAUUUCUGGAUUUUUUUUUUCUUAUAGUUGAUUCCAGUUUAAUAGCAUUGUGUUCAGAAAAGGUUCACAGUAUGACUUUGAUUUUUUUUAAUUCGUUGAGACUUGUGUUGUGGCCUAAUGCAUGAUUUAUUCUAGAGAAUAUUCUGUGUACACAACAGAAAAAUAUGUAUUCUGCUCUUUUAGGGUGGAAUGUUCUGAAUGGUUCUGUAAGUCCAUCUGGUCCAGUAUGUCAUUCAGAGCCACUAUUUCCUUGUUGCUUUUCUAUUUGGAUGACAUGUCCCAUUGACUUAAGAGAGGUGUUAAAAUCCCCUACUAUUAUUGUAUUAUUAUCAAUUAUUUCCUUUAUGUUUGUUUUAUGUAUUUGGGUGCUCCUAUGUUGGGUGUAUUAAUAUUUACAAUUAUUAUAUCCUCUUGUUAGGUUGUCCCCUUUAUUAUUAUAUAGUGUCCGGAGUCUCUUGUUACCACCUUUGUUUUAAAGUCUGUUUUGUCUAAUACAAGUAUUGCUGUUCCAGCUUUCUUUUGAUGUCCAUUUACAUAAUAAAUGUUUCUCCUAUCUCAUUUUCAACCUGUAGAUGUCUUUAGGUCUGAAAUGAGUCUCUUGUAGGCAGCAUAUAUUUGGGUCUUUUUUUUUGGGGGGGGGGUCUUGUUUUUUUGAUCCACUCUUGUUACUGUCUUUUGAUUGAAGCAUUUAGUCCAUUUAGUCACAGUAAUUAUUGAUAGGUACUAUUUAUCACCAUCUUGUUACGUGUUUUGUAGUUGUUUCUGCAGGUUUUCUCUGAUCCUUUCUUCUCUUGUCAUGAUUUGUUGGCUUUCUUUAGUGAUAUACUUGAUUUCUUUCCCUUGAUUCUUUGCAUAUCUAUUACUGGUUUUUCACUUCUGGUUACCAUUAGGUUUGUAUGUAACAUCUACAUACAGCGUCUAUGUUAAGUUGAUGGUUGCUUAGAUUUGAACCUAUUCUUUACUCCACUCUUCCCUGUUUUAGGUAUGUGUUGUCAUUUAAAUCCUUUUAUUUUAUGAAUCCCUUGAUAAAAGUAUUUUUACAGAAAUACUUAUUUUUACUGCUUUUUGUGGGUUUUUGUUUGUUUUUUGCUUUUUAUACUCUCACUUAGGGUCUUUCCACCCAGUCCCCUUUAAUGUUUCUCGAAGGGCUCAUUUAGUGUUCAUGAACUCCUUUAGUGUUUGUCAGAGAAACUCUCUCCAUUUUGAAUGAUAACCCUACUGGAUAAGAGUUAUUGUUGGCUGCAGAUUUUUCCCAACUUUCAGCACUUUGAAUAUAUCAUACCACUCCCUUGUGGCCCACAAAGUUUCUGCUGAAAAAUCUGAUAGCCUUUUGAAGUUUCCCUUGUAUGUAACUAUCUUUUCUCUUGCUGGUUUAAAUUUUUUUUCUUUAGCACUAUUUCCUCCCAUUUUAAUUAUUAUGUUUCUUGUGUAGACCUCCUUGGGUUUAAGUUUUGGGGGGAUCGCUGUGUCUCCUGGAUUUAGAUAUCUAUUUCCUUCUGCAGAUUAGGGAAGUGUCUAGCCAUUGUUUCUUCAAAUAAAUUUCCUACCCCCUUUUCUCUGUUGUCUUCUGAGAUUCUUACAAUGCAGAUAUCAUUACACUUGAUAUCACUGAGUUCCUUUAGACUACUCUCAAGUGCAUAUUUUUUUUUCCUUUGCUCACCUUGGUUAUUUUCACAUUACUCGGUCUUCCAGGUUAUAACUUGUUCCCUUGCUCCAGUCUAGCCUGAUAUGUAUUCCAUCUAGUGUAUUUCUUAUUUCAUUUAAUAUGUUCUUGGUGUCAGGUUGGUUCUCAUUACUGUCAUCCACUCUUAUGUUCAGUGGGUAGCUUAAUGAUCAUCACUGUAAAUUCUCUACCAGGCAUAUUACUUAUAUCUGUUUGGCUUUGGUCUCUUGCUGUGGUUCAGUCCUGUUCUUUCAUUUGGGACAUCUUUUUCUGUCUUCUCAUAUUGUCUAACUUUGUCUGUUUCUGUGUGUUAGGGAAGUGAGCCACUUCUCUUACUUUUACCAAUAAUAGCCUUAUGAAGAGGAGGUCCUGUAGUGCCCUGCAGUGCCGUGUCCUCUGUCCCCCAGGGGCUGGCACUUCAGGGAGGAUCUCCUAUGUGUGUUGUGUGUGCUCUGCUGUGGAGUCUUGGCCUCUUUUUCCUUCAGUCCAGCUGUGUGCAGAGGUUCUCUCUGACCAUUGUGGGCAGCGUUUGAUGCCCAGCAGGGUGGGGCACAUUUUAACAAUGUAUGUGGUGGUCUGCUUGGAAAGGGAGACCUGACACCCCCUCCCCACCCCCCUGCUGCCUCCAGGGAUCCUGGAAAGAGUCAAGAGAUGUGUUGGCCAGGAUUGCACUGGUCUUCUGAGGUGGGGCCUGCAGCACCAGGACUAAGUUUCUUGGCUGGUGUGCAUGUUUAGUUUGCGUCUUCAGGACCGAGGACUGGCCUCCUCAGGCAGCAUCCGGUUACUG